rnacentral:tRNA from 1 species
AUGGGGAUGGUGCAAUGGCAGCAUGGAUGUCUCCAAAACAUCGGAUGGAGGUUCAAACCCUCCUCCCUAUGA